rnacentral:pre_miRNA from 8 species
UGCUUUUCUUCGUGUUCACAGCGGACCUUGAUUUAAAUGUCCAUACAAUUAAGGCACGCGGUGAAUGCCAAGAGAGAUGGC